rnacentral:lncRNA from 1 species
UUACAACUUAAUCAUAGGCACGCAGGCCCGAUAAUAAACGAGAAAUAUAAUGGAGGUUCGCAGACCUCAAUAAUAAUAAUCACAAGUACACACAUCACACAGUCCAUGAUCAUCCGUCCACACAUCAUACAUCACAUGUAUAAAUAAUCAUCAUCAUGUAGGACUACUAGAUAAUAAUAAAAAUAAUAAUCAACUAAACCUUUUAAUUAAUUAAUAUUUUCUGAAAUCAGGGAUAUAUAGGGAAUUUCUCAAUUCCUAAGGGUAUUUUCAUAAUUUGGAUAAAAGACAGAAACUGGAAUUUCUCAAAUUCCGAGGGGCAAAACUGUCUUUUGCCCAGAAAACCCUAAUACCCUUUCCCCUUUUCGCUGUUG